AAGGCCAGUGUGCUUUGUCUGAGCCUGAGAAGGAGCACUGAAACAGGAAGUUGACCUCACGUGUCGCCCUUCUUACAACGACCACAGAUCUGCGGGCCCUGAUGUCCGAUGUCUGAAAAUAGUUUCUCUUCUCUGGGCUUGAGACCAACUUCCCACCUUCUCUGUCCUUAGAAGAGACCAUGAAAAACAGGCUGUAUUUAAUUACUGGCUCUAUCACUUUCUCUUCAGGUGACCUUGGCACAACAGACAAGAUUCAAGAUGUUGACUGACCAGAUGGCCUGCAUACCUGAAUACCUAUGACAAGCACCUGGUAAGGUGCAAUUGUCCAGUAGCAUGAUCAAGAAAUAAAGUUUUAUUAUUUUAAGGCACUGAGAUAUGAGGUUGUGUCUGAUGAUAGUGUAACUCAUCCUAUUCUGACUACUCCAGAACUCAACUUUGUUAAGAAGAAUUAAAGAAUAGUCCUCAGCAAGCACUUUUCAAUGUUUCAAGGAAAUUUUAACCUGUUUUCACUCUAGUUUUUAGACCUCGAUUUGAUGUUAAAUAGUGAUGGCUUAGACCCAUAUAAUAAUACUCAUUAGAUUUGUAGGGACAAAAAAUUAUUUUCAUAUAGUAAUUUGUUAUGCUUUAGUAUUAAAUAUAUCUAUUUAGUCACUCUAUUUACAUGUAAAAUAAGUUCAUUUCAAGGUGGAAAAUGUCUACCCUUAUAUAAAAGAAUGGGUUCACCUGUCCUCAGGGGGCUGGUUGGCACCCCUAGGAUAUGCUAUUAUA